UACGUAGGGUGCGAGCGUUAAUCGGAAUUAUUGGGCGUAAAGAGCUCGUAGGCGGUCUGUCGCGUCGAUCGUGAAAACUUGGGGCUUAACCCUGAGCUUGCGGUCGAUACGGGCAUGACUGGAGUUCGGCAGGGGGAGACUGGAAUUCCUGGUGUAGCGGUGAAAUGCGCAGAUAUCAGGAGGAACACCGGUGGCGAAGGCGGGUCUCUGGGCCGAUACUGACGCUGAGGAGCGAAAGCGUGGGGAGCGAACAGG
rnacentral:rRNA from 1 species